rnacentral:tRNA from 1 species
GGUGAGGUACCGAAGUGGUCAUAACGGGACGGUCUUGAAAACCGUUAGUCUCGCAAGGGGCACGUGGGUUCGAAUCCCACCCUCACCG